CCCCCAUUUCCAGAUUACGUGACAUUUUUGGAGCACCCUGUAUAUGUUUCAAUAUUUACAAUAUUAUUGCAGUUUUAUUUUACGGAUCAAGAAAGAUAGGGUUAGAUGCAUCGGGAUCAAGCUAUCCGACUGAUUCUCGCCCUAUUUUUUUUCGAAAAAUCGUCCUCUUUGUGGUGCUCCCGUCGACGUUCCCUGCUAGCCGAUUAGAAAGCAGGUUUUACGUAACGAUUUCUCGGGUUUCGCGGCGUGGACGGGUGACACACUGUCAUUGUCGUGGUCGGUGGCGUUCCGAGCAAUCGUCAGACGGAUACACGCGACGCCGACGGUCGGAGAAUAGGAGAUGCACCGAGGCUGGUACACGCACGUGGACAUAGUUGCAUUUUGCAUAAUUGCUCGCGUUACGAGGAAAUUGCCGGCGAACCUAUUGCGAUUCUUUCAUCGCCGGGUUUUUCUGUCAUUUUUACGGAGAGGUAUAUCGAGCACGCGAGUUUCACGAUUGCGUCAAUACGGCUCGGAAUAAAUGCACGGAACACCGCAAGGCUGCCGGCACGAUCCGAGGAAGGUCGGAAUCUACAUGAAGAAAUGAGUCGAAAGCAUGCAGGGACAUUUCUCCGUACGAUGCUUCGUUUCUGAAUAAAUUAGUGCCGGGAAGAUUGCUCGGGUACUCGCGCACGUAAUAAGUUGAAUCGGUUAGUCGUGUGCAGUCGAACAUCGAACUGAAAUUUUCUCGGAAAUCGAGUGCAGUUUGUCGCACAGUAUUUAUUGAAAUUCGUUGAAAGUCGCGUUGUUUAGAAGCUGGCAGAGAUUAAACUGUUAUUAAAAAUUAUUAAAAGUUGUUGAAUGGAAAUGCUAUUAAAAAUAUUUCUAACUGCUAUUAAAAAUAUCUUUAACUGUUAUUAAAAAUUCGUGAUACCUUAAUGAAAAGUACUGCUGUUAUUUUGACAUUUCCGAUGUUGGUUGACUUUGCACGAAAUUGUUGGUCGUCGUUCGAUGCUGAGCGCAGCUGAAGUGAAAUUAAAAAUGGGGAUAUUUACAAUUCGAAAUGUCAAUUAACGCGAGUGGUGAAUUUACGGUAUGGCAAAAUGUUAUUUAAACUAAGGAUAAAAAUAAUCAUUCGAAAUAAUGCGUUGUUGCUACUACUUCGUAAUUUUCUCGAUUCGUUCAUUUCUAUCAGAGUUUGUUCAAUAAGUUAUUUGUGGAAUAAAUUAUUAUAUUCUGCUACGAAAUGAAAUAUUGUUCAAAUAAACGAACGAAUUUUUAAAAGA